rnacentral:rRNA from 1 species
UACAGAGGGCGCGAGCGUUGUCCGGAAUCACUGGGCGUAAAGGGCGCGUAGGUGGCCACUAUAAGGCCGUGGUGAAAGUUCGGGGCUCAACCCUGAAUCUGCCGCGGCGACUGUAGGGCUAGGGCACCGUAGAGGCAGAUGGAAUUCCGGGUGUAGCGGUGGAAUGCGUAGAGAUCCGGAAGAACACCGGUGGCGAAGGCGGUCUGCUGGGCGGUGAGCUCGCAAGAGCUCAAUAGCCGACACUGAGGCGCGACAGCGUGGGGAGCAAACAGG